UUGAAACAAUUUAAUUGCUAAGCUUGUUAGUAGAUCUUGCGAAUCCACCAAAUUUGAAAUAUGGUUUAAAACACACCUUAUCUCGUUCGAUGACUGAUAUAACAAAUAAGUUGUAUAACUUAGCCGAUGUUUGGCAUCAGUUUUGAGGCAGCAUCUGCAAUUUAACCACCAAUAAAAAAUUACUAGCAGUGUCCUCCCUUUUGAGUACUGGUCGAACCUGUAAUUAAUGGAAAAAUUGAAAAAAAUUUAAUCCGCUUUACUUGAGUUGUUAUAAUUGUCUUAAAUGUAUCUUAACCAAUUUAAUGUAGACUAGAUAUUUUAUUGACUCUAUUGCUGCCGUCUUAUGUUAUUUCUCCGAACAACGUUUUUUCUGGAUUGUAUUUCCAAAAGAGCAAAAUCCAUCCCUUAAUUGUUGUUUAUUCUCAGCUUGGCUGAUGUCAUCCUCAUUUUACUUAUUGGAAACAAGGUACAAAAAUCAAAUCUACAUAUAUGAGAAUGUGUCUUUUAAAUUAUUGAUUUCUUUAAAUUAUUUACAUUUGAUAAAAUUUAUAUACUUAUAUACUCAAAAUUUUCGGAAAGGAUGUUUUACUCAUGUCUAUUCAAUGGAAGUAGAUUUGAUUAGUUAGUUUAUAAGGUGCGGUACAUGUUUAUUCGAAGUCAAAGGACCGUAACGACCAAUGAACAAAAAUUAUUUUGCAAGUCGUAAUUGGGAAAAAGUAUGUUAUCUAGAAAUGUUCCCAUUUCUAUUAACUUUCCUAUCACGUCCAAGAGCAGUGUGCGAGCAAUUCGUCAACUCACCUUCUUUAGGAUUGAAUGAAUUCAUUAAACUUCUGGGUUGCCUCUUAGAAUAUUACUUUUAGUGGGCCAAAAAGUGAUUUCGCUUCUAUCAUAAAUGAAAACUUUUAAUUUAUAUUUUCAGUUUGAAUUACGCGAGAUACAAUCAAAUAUUUGUUUUGGUUUUAUUAUGACUGUAGUUUGGAACUUGCGAAUUGCAAUAAAUAAAAUGAUUUUAUUAUACCACAACAAUAAUGUGAUUCCCCUUUGGUGACAUUUUAUAUAAAUACACGCGAUAAGUUAUGUUUAUAUCAGUGUUAAAUUAUCUGCGUUAACAACAUAUCAACGUUCAACUUAAGAGACACCAUGAAGUUUUGGCUGCUAUUAUUUUUUGUGGCGGUCGCGCUCCAAGGACUCUUAGCUAUCCCAUCGAGGGAUGGCCCUGGAGGUAAUAAUCGUGGUGGUAGCAGCAACCGAGCUGGUGGCAGCCCAAGCGGAAGAGGUGACAGUAACAGGGGAGGAGACAGGAGUGGAAAUACCAGAGUCGCAUAAUCUAGAACGUAUUCAACAUUGCAACAAAGCCCUUAAAUAUACAUGCUAUAUACUAGCAUACCAAUUUAAAUAUAAUAUUAUAUCCCAAAGUCCACCAAAUUUGAUUAAUAAAAUUGUUUCAGUUGAGUGUC